CGACCAGAUCAUAUUGAAACACCAGAUCGCGUAAGAUCGCCGAAGUUAAGCAACAUUGGGUCUGGUCAGAACUGAGAGGGGUGGCCGCUUUGGAAUAACAGGUGCUGUAA